rnacentral:rRNA from 1 species
AUUGAACGCUGGCGGCAGGCCUAACACAUGCGAGUCGAGCGGAUGAAGGGAGCUUGCUCCUGGAUUCAGCGGCGGACGGGUGAGUAAUGCCUAGGAAUCUGCCUGGUAGUGGGGGAUAACGUCCGGAAACGGGCGCUAAUACCGCAUACGUCCUGAGGGAGAAAGUGGGGGAUCUUCGGACCUCACGCUAUCAGAUGAGCCUAGGUCGGAUUAGCUAGUUGGUGGGGUAAAGGCCUACCAAGGCGACGAUCCGUAACUGGUCUGAGAGGAUGAUCAGUCACACUGGAACUGAGACACGGUCCAGACUCCUACGGGAGGCAGCAGUGGGGAAUAUUGGACAAUGGGCGAAAGCCUGAUCCAGCCAUGCCGCGUGUGUGAAGAAGGUCUUCGGAUUGUAAAGCACUUUAAGUUGGGAGGAAGGGCAGUAAGUUAAUACCUUGCUGUUUUGACGUUACCAACAGAAUAAGCACCGGCGAACUUCGU